UACGUAGGGUGCGAGCGUUGUCCGGAAUUAUUGGGCGUAAAGAGCUCGUAGGCGGUUUGUCACGUCGGAUGUGAAAUCCCGGGGCUUAACUCCGGGCCUGCAUUCGAUACGGGCUGACUAGAGUUCGGCAGGGGAGACUGGAAUUCCUGGUGUAGCGGUGAAAUGCGCAGAUAUCAGGAGGAACACCGGUGGCGAAGGCGGGUCUCUGGGCCGAUACUGACGCUGAGGAGCGAAAGCCAGGGGAGCAAACGGG
rnacentral:rRNA from 1 species